CAGCCUGCAACCCGGCUGCACGAAGCUGGAAUCGCUAGUAAUCGCGGAUCAGCAUGCCGCGGUGAAUACGUUCCCGGGUCUUGUACACACCGCCCGUCACACCAUGGGAGCCGGAAAUGCCCGAAGCCUGUGACCCAACCUUUAUAGGAGGGAGCAGCCUAAGGCGGGGCCGGUAACUGGGGUGAAGUCGUAACAAGGUAUC
rnacentral:rRNA from 1 species